AGUGAACGCUGGCGGUAGGCCUAACACAUGCAAGUCGAACGGCAGCACAGUAAGAGCUUGCUCUUACGGGUGGCGAGUGGCGGACGGGUGAGGAAUACAUCGGAAUCUACUUUUUCGUGGGGGAUAACGUAGGGAAACUUACGCUAAUACCGCAUACGACCUACGGGUGAAAGCAGGGGAUCUUCGGACCUUGCGCGUUUGAAUGAGCCGAUGUCGGAUUAGCUAGUUGGCGGGGUAAAGGCCCACCAAGGCGACGAUCCGUAGCUGGUCUGAGAGGAUGAUCAGCGACACUGGAACUGAGACACGGUCCAGACUCCUACGGGAGGCAGCAGUGGGGAAUAUUGGACAAUGGGCGGAAGCCUGAUCCAGCCAUACCGCGUGGGUGAAGAAGGCCUUCGGGUUGUAAAGCCCUUUUGUUGGGAGAGAAAAGCAGCAGGUUAAUACCCCGCUGUUCUGACGGUACCCAAAGAAUAAGCACCGGCUAACUUCGUG
rnacentral:rRNA from 1 species